rnacentral:rRNA from 1 species
GGUGAACGCUGGCGGCGUGCCUAAUACAUGCAAGUCGAGCGAACGGACGAGGAGCUUGCUUCUCUGAUGUUAGCGGCGGACGGGUGAGUAACACGUGGAUAACCUACCUAUAAGACUGGGAUAACUUCGGGAAACCGGAGCUAAUACCGGAUGAUAUUUUGAACCGCAUGGUUCAAAAGUGAAAGACGGUCUUGCUGUCACUUAUAGAUGGAUCCGCGCUGCAUUAGCUAGUUGGUAAGGUAACGGCUUACCAAGGCAACGAUGCAUAGCCGACCUGAGAGGGUGAUCGGCCACACUGGAACUGAGACACGGUCCAGACUCCUACGGGAGGCAGCAGUAGGGAAUCUUCCGCAAUGGGCGAAAGCCUGACGGAGCAACGCCGCGUGAGUGAUGAAGGUCUUCGGAUCGUAAAACUCUGUUAUUAGGGAAGAACAUAUGUGUAAGUAACUGUGCACAUCUUGACGGUACCUAAUCAGAAAGCCACGGCUAACUACGUG